UACGUAGGGGGCAAGCGUUGUCCGGAUUUAUUGGGCGUAAAGCGCGUGUAGGUGGCCAAGUAGGUCCGCUGUGAAAACUCGAGGCUUAACCUCGAGAUGUCAUCGGAAACUAUUUGGCUAGAGUCCGGAAGAGGAGAGUGGAAUUCCUGGUGUAGCGGUGAAAUGCGCAGAUAUCAGGAAGAACACCAAUGGCGAAAGCAGCUCUCUGGGACGGUACUGACGCUGAGACGCGAAAGCGUGGGGAGCGAACAGG
rnacentral:rRNA from 1 species